rnacentral:misc_RNA from 1 species
GAUGAAGAACGUAGCGAAAUGCGAUAAGUAAUGUGAAUUGCAGAAUUCAGUGAAUCAUCGAAUCUUUGAACGCACCUUGCACCCUUUGGCAUUCCGAAGGGUAUGCUCGUUUGAGUGUCAUUGUACUCUCACACUCUCCAAUCCUCUGGAUCUGGGGAGUGGUGGACUUGGGCGUCUGCUGCUUGACUGUGGCUCGCUUUAAAUGGAUUAGUGCAACUCUUGGUUGGACAUAGUACGGCGUGAUAAGUGUCUUCGCCGGCACCUCGGAAGAGGGUGACUGAUUGAGAGCUCUGUGCUUCAAACUGUCUUCGGACAAUCUCUGACAACUUGACCUCAAAUCGAGUAGGACUACCCGCUGAACUUAAGCAUAUCAAUAAGCGGAGGA